AGAGAAGGAAACUGUUUAGUCCAACCCAAGGUGGGGUAUUGGAACUGAUCUUUGCUGCUGAAUCAUUGGCUCAUGAGCAUGUCAAAGAAGAUGAUUGAACAUUCUGGACAUGUUCUUGCUCCAAUGAUGCAGGAGCUGAGCUCGGUUUUUCACCGCCUUUUCUUGGACUGAAGGGUUUCCUUCCCUUC
rnacentral:pre_miRNA from 1 species